rnacentral:rRNA from 1 species
UACAGAGGGUGCAAGCGUUAAUCGGAAUUACUGGGCGUAAAGCGCGCGUAGGCGGCUAAUUAAGUCGGGUGUGAAAGCCCCGGGCUCAACCUGGGAAUUGCAUCCGAUACUGAUUGGCUAGAGUAUGAGAGAGGGAGGUAGAAUUCCACGUGUAGCGGUGAAAUGCGUAGAUAUGUGGAGGAAUACCGGUGGCGAAGGCGGCCUCCUGGCUUAAUACUGACGCUGAGGUGCGAAAGCGUGGGGAUCAAACAGGAUUAGAUACCCUGGUAGUCCACGCCGUAAACGAUGUCAACUAGCCGUUGGGCACCUUAGUGUGCUUGGUGGCGCAGCUAACGCGAUAAGUUGACCGCCUGGGGAGUACGGUCGCAAGAUUAAA